CAUCUGUACAUAGCAUAGUUUUCUGUUUGGCAUAACCAGCAUUGUGAUGGAAAAGAAAGUCCCAUUACUUCUUUCAAGAGCCACUCCAGAUGUUCCCAGGAUUGGAAUUCACCCAUCCUUUGUGACAGGAAGACUCAGCAGUUUUUCCACGUCUAUGGUUAUACAAGCUUUUCUCUGUGCCCUUUCACUUGUUGCUUGCCGCUUCAGAUGCGCAAAGAAUGCUUUUCACAAAGGUGCUGCUUCAGUUCGAUGACUGGAGAAGUAAACAGGUCCUUGGGUCAACAAAUCACUUGAAUUUAUAUCAUGUGACUUCUAUUUUGUUUUUACUGGUUUGCAAACUAAUAAAUUUCAGUAUCACAAAAC